rnacentral:rRNA from 1 species
UACAGAGGUGGCAAGCGUUGUUCGGAAUUACUGGGCGUAAAGGGCGAGUAGGUGGCCAUCUAAGUCAGACGUGAAAUCCCCCGGCUUAACCUGGGAACUGCGUCUGAUACUGGACGGCUUGAGUAUGGGAGAGGAACGUAGAAUUCCAGGUGUAGCGGUGAAAUGCGUAGAUAUCAGGAGGAACACCAAUGGCGAAGGCAGAUCUCUGGGCCGUAACUGACGCUGAGGAGCGAAAGCAUGGGGAGCGAACAGG